rnacentral:misc_RNA from 1 species
GAAAUGCGAUAAGUAAUGUGAAUUGCAGAAUUCAGUGAAUCAUCGAAUCUUUGAACGCACAUUGCGCCCGCCAGUAUUCUGGCGGGCAUGCCUGUUCGAGCGUCAUUUCAACCAUCAAGCCCCCGGCUUGUGUGGGGGACCUGCGGCUGCCCGCAGGCCCUGAAAAACAGUGGCGGGCUCGCUGUCACACCGAGCGUAGUAGCAUACAUUCUCGCUCAGGGCGUGCUGCGGGUUCCGGCCGUUAAACGACCUUCAUAACCCAAGGUUGACCUCGGAUCAGGUAGGAAGACCCGCUGAACUUAAGC